AGGUCAAGAUGAGGACACUUUUGCAAUAAAUCAUUGUAUCUCUCUCAUGCCUCAUAUAAUGAUUCGCCCUCACAUUCGAUGAAGGUAGUAAUAGCAUUCCUUAACUU